AUGUUUAUGUCAUGAAGGUAUAAUUGAGUCUUUUUGAUAUAUCUUCAGGUGUUGAUGAAAAGAAUCCUAGGCACCUGAUCAGUACAAGCAAACUAGGAAUAACCUUGAGAUCUUCAAGUAGUAGGAGUAAUCAGAAGCUCCACUUUCAGAGGAAAAACCCAUCAACCGUAUCCCAAGAGGUUUUACUGGCUUCAAUGGUUUGUUUCCAUGGUCGUGUACGCGUAUGGUCUGAUGGUCAUGGACAUCGUGCAGGAGGUCGAACUGUUUGCCUGCAAGGGCCACCACAGUGACCUUGACGCUACAGUUCCGGAGCUCGUCGACAAUAGCAUCCAAAGGUACGGACUUUCGAAUGGGUUGCUGUCUGAUGCAAACACUAUUUGGUUUUACUUUUUUGCCAAUGUUAAGUGUAUUCAGUCAUGUGUAAUUUGGACGCACAAGUUUAGCAUAUGUGGCUUAAUCACACAGUCGGAAAAAUAUUUUUUUAUUUUGUGAUUAAGCCUAGCGCAGAUUCAUGGAAAUAGAUGCGUGCAGAAGAAAAAAUUGCUACAUGAGCAUUUGUAUGUCAAUGGAUACAAGACUUAUCCAGUUGUAGCAGCCAACCUUUAUGCAAAAUCUUCAAACCAUUUGUUCAAAAUAAAUACAGAAAAUUAGGCUGUUAAAAAUAAAUACAGAAAAUUAGGGUGUUUGCUGCUAUUAAUUUUUAUUCUUAUGAACAUUCUUUCUGUUUCA